CGACAUGAUGUCGAAGGCUUAAUUCCGAAAGGCGAGCGGGCCCUUCUGGGCCAGCGGCGGAUGGGUGAGUAACGCGUGGGAACGUGCCUUCUGGUUCGGAAUAACCCUGGGAAACUAGGGCUAAUACCGGAUACGCCCUUUUGGGGAAAGGUUUACUGCCGGAAGAUCGGCCCGCGUCUGAUUAGCUAGUUGGUGGGGUAACGGCCUACCAAGGCGACGAUCAGUAGCUGGUCUGAGAGGAUGAUCAGCCACACUGGGACUGAGACACGGCCCAAACUCCUACGGGAGGCAGCAGUGGGGAAUAUUGGACAAUGGGCGCAAGCCUGAUCCAGCCAUGCCGCGUGAGUGAUGAAGGCCUUAGGGUUGUAAAGCUCUUUUAUCCGGGACGAUAUUGACGGUACCGGAGGAAUAAGCCCCGGCUAAUUUCGUGCCAGCCGCCGCGGUAUUACGAAGGGGGCUAGCGUUGCUCGGAAUCACUGGGCGUAAAGGGCGCGUAAGCGGCGUUUUAAGAUCGGGGGUGAAAGCCUGGUGCUCAACCCCCGAAUGGCCUUCAAUACUGGGACGCUUUGAGUAUGGCAGAAGUUGGUGGGAACUGCCUAGUGUAAGAGGCGAAAUUCUUAGAAUUUUCUCAAGAACCACCUGGUGGCCGAAAGCCGGGCCAACUUGGGCCAUUUUCGUGACCCCUGAAGGCGCCAAAAUCCCUUGGGGAAACCAAAACUGGGGAUUAGAAUCCCCCUGGGUAAGUCCCCCCCCCCCUAAAACGAAUUUAAUGUCCCCCCUGUUUGGGGGGUGGUUUGGCCCCAUCAAUUUGCCUUCAUCCUUUAACGUCUUUUGGGGCGCAUCCCUCCGCCGGG
rnacentral:rRNA from 1 species